rnacentral:rRNA from 1 species
UGGGGAAUUUUGGACAAUGGGCGCAAGCCUGAUCCAGCCAUGCCGCGUGUGGGAAGAAGGCCUUCGGGUUGUAAACCACUUUUGUCAGGGAAGAAACGGCCUGAUCUAAUACAUUGGGUUAAUGACGGUACCUGAAGAAUAAGCACCGGCUAACUACGUGCCAGCAGCCGCGGUAAUACGUAGGGUGCAAGCGUUAAUCGGAAUUACUGGGCGUAAAGCGUGCGCAGGCGGUUGUGUAAGUCAGAUGUGAAAUCCCCGGGCUCAACCUGGGAACUGCAUUUGUGACUGCAAGGCUAGAGUACGGUAGAGGGGGAUGGAAUUCCGCGUGUAGCAGUGAAAUGCGUAGAUAUGCGGAGGAACACCGAUGGCGAAGGCAAUCCCCUGGACCUGUACUGACGCUCAUGCACGAAAGCGUGGGGAGCAAACAGGAUUAGAUACCCCCGUAGUCCCUGAGCGGGCUGGCAAGGCGCAU